GAGGGUCUCUGCUUAUUCACCUAUGUAGGAUUUCCCUAUUCAGGGGGCUUUAUGUAAACUUAAAGCGAAUGUCUUACAUUAGGCUAUGUUAACAGUACAGAAAACUUGGUCAUGAAUUAAACACAUGGCACUCUUCAUGGACGAUCAAGCCCAUGAAAUCAGUGAUGAAGCAUCUCACUGACUCGGGAUGGCAUGCUUGGGUGCGAUGCUGUCAGUGUUUACACCUGUACAGAGCCAGUUUUCACAGCUAUUCAGGGUUCAUUCCAAUUUUACAAACCUAAGAGAGUCCUAGAAACUUCUCCAAGGAUCUUGCCAAACAUAAUUACUAUUACUGAAGGAUAUCUACUCUCAGAUAAAUGUGAAGAACCAUCUUGCAAAUACCUCCAUAGUUUUUCCUUUCCUGAUUUGCUAUGCUUUCCAGCAUCACACAAUUAGUAGUAGAUUCUGAUACGUAGGCAAAAAGCACGAUCAUCAAUAAAAAGAACUUACAGGAGAGAUUUAACUCAUUCUCUAUAAGCAAGAAAUGAAUGUUUGGUAAUUACGUAAAGCAAGAGUACUCAUCUGACUGGAAAAAAAAAAAAGGUCUCUGUUACCCUCCUAGGGCAGAAGGCUGCCUCCUGCCAGUGGCUCCUCACAGCACACACUCAGCACCCAGCUGCUUCUCAAGGACCUGGAGCUCCUUACAGGUCUGCACCUGGCUUUCUCUCUCACACCACACCUGGCCCCCAGUAGCCGCACCCUCAACAAUGUCUGUGGCACCUGGCAGUUCAUCCAAGGUAGGUUCCUGAAAUCAGCAUCCUCUAGUGCUACAAUCCUGAGCCCUGUCCCCCAACCACUAAGUUUGAACACUGAUACCCUAUCUUUAAGGGAUAGAGUAUUUCUGAAUCCCUUACUUUGUAGAAACAUGUUGACCUAUUUAUGAAGAACUGGGUUGGCCUCAUAUUUUGUGUAUAAUUUUAAAAGGCCCUGCGGCCUUUCAGAUUCAUGUAAAUAAAGCCUUAAAGGGCUUGGGGGCAGAGUCCCAGAAAUGGAAGUGAAGUAUGGAAAAGGGAAGAAACACCCUUACCAGGCUUAUGGAAAGCUCACCUAUAAAAACAAUCCCAAGAGAAAAUCUUACCCAUGCACUUUCCCCAAUGUAACCUUUCCACAACGCACUCAGCAAGAAAUCAACUCAUCAAAGUUGAAAACAUCAGAGGCGAAUAGAUAUUAAAUCUCAAGGGAAACCUGAUAAAAGAUGUCCCUUCACCCUCCACUGUGACUGGUCAAGCCCAGAAACCAUCCAGCAGAUACCGAUGAGGACUCGCAGUGAGUGCAGUCUGGACACAGGGAUGCCAAAGGAGGACUAGUCCAGGCGCGAGGACCCUGGGUCCUGAGGAUGAGCUAGUUCCUAGCGGUCAACAGCGGGGAGCAAACCAACCUGAGAUCAGCACCAGGAACACGGCUGCCUCCGUGGCUGCCUGUGGCCACACUCCGCCAGCACACAAGCACACCCCAACUGCAGGAACACGUGGGCUCUCUUCCUCCUCUCCCCUCCCCUCACCCCAAGAUUUUCUCCCGGAGAGGAUGCUAUACCCUAAGAAUGCCUCUAGCCCAUGUUUGCUGACUUAAGAGUUACCACUUCACGGCAGCCUCCUGCCACUGGAUAUGAGGAUGCAGCAUUCACCUCGUUCAUUCAGCAAACAUUUAGUAAGCACUGACUGUGUGCUGGGUACUGGGGAUUCACAUCUCAGUGAGAUUCAGCCUCAAUGUAAAUUACAGUUUAGAAAUAAAAUCUCAAGAGGAAAUUAUAUGAAGCUGGAGCCACUGUAAUUCAAUGGAAUUCUGAGGAAUGAGAUACCCCAGUUUAGGGAAAGGAAUUAAAUCACACCAAAAUAAGAACCAUCAGGUUUAUCUGCUAAAGCAAGUUUAUUAGAAUCACCAUAAAAUGCAAAUUCUCCAUUAGAUAAAAUUGCGGCACAGAAGCAGACAGGAUGGGACCUGUGCCUGGGGGCAGAGGAGGAAAGGAGGUCCCCAGGGCAACACUCUCCUCCCAGCUUCAGACUGAAUUUAGGUGCCAGUGCAUAAUCCUGACUCUCCACAGGCAGCAUCCUGCCCCAGAAAUCAAACUCUUCUCUCAGGGUGCCUCCAGCCUCCACCCUAGCAACGGCCGUGAGUGGCACUGUUACCUCUCAAGUGGUCAGAGAAGAGAAAGGAGAGAAAUGCAAGAUAAAAGAAAUGAGAAAAAGAGAGAUGAAAAAAAGACAAGGAGCCCACCUAGUAAAGAAAGGCAUUUUUUCAUUUAACAAGUCCGGAACCUGCAUGUGCCCCUCGCAGCCACCAACCAUCCUGCUCCAGCUGACUUUACCAGCUCUGGAGGCUAGAAAACCAGAGACUCAUGAGGAGAGUUCACACAAUCUGAACGAGGGCAUCUGACAGCUAUUUAUAGGAUCCAGGGGCCUUUGUGGAAAAGCUCACUUCUGGGCAGGUGGGGCUGUGUCUGGGAAUGGCUGAGGCUGAAGAAUGACCUCUGGGUGAAUCACUUGGAAAGAGAGGAAAGUCCCUGAGAAGGGCACUCAGAGACACACAGCCUCAGAAAGAAAGAUGGAUGGUCAACAGGAAGAAUAAAAAACAAAUACAGCUCCUGGGAAGUUCAGGAGCUCACUUUUCUUGAGUGGUCCUUCCCACGCUGAGAGAUGGCUCGCUCCGCAAACACUCCACAUCCCAGCACCAACUGAAAAGGCCCAAUCUCUUCCACUGCCCAUGUGCCCUUAGUGCAUUUAAUAAAGCAACUCCACAGGCAAAAUGACAGUGACACUUUAGGGCAUGGGUCCUACGUGUGAAAAGCUGAGUCUGACUUAACCAUGCAGACACUCCAAUAAGGAAAUACCUCCUGCAGAGGCAACAGACAAGGGAAUAAUUUUAGAAGAUGAUUAAGAGGAAAAAGACAAUCACACCAACACCAGUGGACUAGGUGAGACAAAACAAGAUUUAUUCCAACUCUGAUCAAAGACAAGUAGAUCCCCUACUAAUGAGAAAUAGGUUCAUGGAGAGCCACCCAUUGACUCUCCAAAUCCAGCUGGCUUCGAGGUCAUGGUCCAAACCCUCUGAAGCUAUCUCAGGAAAACAAGAUCCCGGGCUUUGACCCAGGAGCCUUUCUGCUCUUGAGGUAAAUUGUAUCCCUGGCAGAUUCUACUGUCAGUCUUGUCUCACCACGUGGCAGGUGGUUUUACAGAGCCAAUCACCUCCCCUUAAGCCACACAUUGUGAUAACUGGGUAAUUUCAUCCCAAUUGACUCAAGCCAGUGCCAAGAGACAGUGUUGCAGGAUACUUCCCAGGAGGCUGAGCCAACCUUGCUGCAUGGUGUGCUGUGGUUUUCAAGGAAAGUCAGGCUUCAUCCCAUAUUUUUUUCCUCACUCCAACAAAAGCCCUGAGUCCUCUGAUAAGACAGUAUUUCUGAUGUUUUUGAUAUAAUUACCAGGCACUUGUUUUUGUGUUGUUGUUGUUUUUUCUUAACUCUGUAGUACUGACUUGGCAGUGGUCAAAGGACUUAAGUCAGUCAUCUGAUGAUUCAUCCUAAAGGGGGGCACCUGGGUGGCUCAGUGGUUGAGCAUCUGUCUUCGGUUCAUGUGGUGAUCUCAGGGUCCUAGGAUCAAGUCCCGUGUCAGGGUCCCUGUUCAGCAGGGAGUCUGCUUCUCCCUUUCCCUCUGCCCCUCUACCCUGGUUGUUACUUAAGAGAGAGAGACAGCAUUUAUUUUCUCUUAAAUAAAGAAGAAGGAUCCCUGGGUGGCUCAGCAGUUUAGUGCCUGCCUUCAGCCCAGGGUGUGAUCCUGGAGUCCCGGGAUCAAGUCCCACAUCAGGCUCCCUGCACAGAGCCUGCUUCUCCCUCUGCCUAUGUCUCUGCCUCUCUCCGUCUGUUGUCUCUCAUGGAUAAAUGAAUAAAAUCUUUAAAAAAGAAGGGCAGCCCCGGUGGCGCAGCAGUUUGGCGCCGCCUGCAGCCCAGGGGUGUGAUGCUGGAGACCUGGGAUGGAGUCCCACAUCGGGCUCCCUGCAUGGAGCCUGCCUCUCUCUGUGUGUCUAUGAAUAAAUAAAAUCUUUUAAAAAAAUGAAACCUCUAGAUUUAAAAAAUAAAUAAAUAAAUAAAAAAGAAGAAGAAGAAGAAAUUACUGCAUCUAGUGUGGAGUCAGGUUAACAAGUGGCCUAUGUGUCCCACUGUCGGGUGGCAUCACAAACUGCCAUCAAUACGAACUUCAGACGCUGGUGAAAAGUGCACUCAGAGGAAAAGUCAAAGAAGUGCCCUGUACUACUCACAUCUGGACUCAGUGUAAAACACAAUUUACACACAAAGCAAGUCAGGAAUUGUCUGGAAGCUGGAAAACUUGUUAAUUUCCUUUGCAAGUUACUAUUAAUGUAUGGCACAUAAAAAAUGAGACUCAUGAAAAUGUAUGUAGGGACAGACUGUUAAGAUUCCUGAAUACUUU
rnacentral:lncRNA from 1 species